AGUGCUCGAAAGAGAACCUGCACACAGGUGCUGCAUGGCUGUCGUCAGCUCGUGUCGUGAGAUGUUGGGUUAAGUCCCGCAACGAGCGCAACCCUUGCCAUUAGUUGCUACGAAAGGGCACUCUAAUGGGACUGCCGGUGACAAACCGGAGGAAGUGGGGAUGACGUCAAGUCCUCAUGGCCCUUAUAGGUGGGGCUACACACGUCAUACAAUGGCCGGUACAGAGGGUAGCCAACCCGCGAGGGGAGCCAAUCCCACAAAGCCGGUCGUAGUCCGGAUCGCAGUCUGCAACUCGACUGCGUGAAGUCGGAAUCGCUAGUAAUCGCGAAUCAGCAUGUCCGCGGUCGAAUACGUUCCCGGGCCUU
rnacentral:rRNA from 1 species